rnacentral:Y_RNA from 1 species
AGCUGGUCCAAGUCAAGUGGUGUUUACAACAUCAUGACCAGUUACAGGUUUCUUUGUUCCCUUUCCACUUCCAUUGCUGCACUUAACUAGACUUAA